rnacentral:rRNA from 1 species
CAAGGAUUCCCCUAGUAACUGGCGAGGUGAAGCGGGAAAAGGGCUCAAAUUUAAAAUUCUGGGUGGUUCUUCCGGCCCAUUCCGAGUUGGUAAUUCUAGAGAAGUGUUACCCGCGUCGGACCGUGUACAAGUCUCCUGGGAUGGAGCGUCAUAGAGGGUGAGAAUCCCGUCUUUGACACGGACCCCCGAGGCUUUGUGGUGCGCUCUCAAAGAGUCGAGUUGUUUGGGAAUGCAGCUCAAAAUGGGUGGUAAUUCCAUCUAGAGCUAAAUAUUGGGCGGGAGACCGAUAGCGAACAAGUACCGUGAGGGAAAGAUGAAAAGAACUUUGGGAAGAGAGUUAAACAGUACGUGAAAUUGCUGAAAGGGAAACGCUUGAAGUCAGUCGCGUCGGCCGGAAAUCAGCCUUGCUCUUGCUUGGUGUACUUUCUGGUUGACGGGCCAGCAUCAGUUUUGACCGGUGGAUAAAGUUGUGAGGAAUGUGGCAUCUUCGGGUGUGUUAUAGCCUCGCUUCGUAUACAUCGGUUGGGACUGAGGAACUCAGCACGCCGAAAGGCCGGGGUUCGCCCACGUUCGUGCUUAGGAUGUUGG